rnacentral:rRNA from 1 species
CCUACGGGUGGCAGCAGUGGGGAAUAUUGCACAAUGGGGGAAACCCUGAUGCAGCGACGCCGCGUGAGUGAAGAAGUAAUUCGUUAUGUAAAGCUCUAUCAGCAGGGAAGAAAAUGACGGUACCUGAGUACGAAGCCCCGGCUAACUACGUGCCAGCAGCCGCGGUAAUACGUCGGGGGCAAGCGUUAUCCGGAUUUACUGGGGGUAAAGGGAGCGUAGACGGCAGUGCAAGUCUGGAGUGAAAGGCGGGGGCUCAACCCCCGGACUGCUCUGGAAACUGUACGGCUGGAUUGCAGGAGAGGUAAGUGGAAUUCCGAGUGUAGCGGUGAAAGGCGUAGAUAUUAGGAGGAACACCAGUGGCGAAGGCGGCUUACUGGACUGUAACUGACGUUGAGGCUCGAAAGCGUGGGGAGCAAACAGGAUUAGAUACCCCUGUAGUC